UAAUGCUACUAGCCUUCUGUUGUGCCAAUUUCAGUAACAAUGACACUAGUAGAAAAAUGGUCAAAUGCUCCCACACAAAGGAUGCUCUUAUAUUACAAGCGCAUCCUUUGGUUUGUUAAUUAAUAAUUUUUUUGAAAAACAAAUAUUCUGGGUUCUGUUGAAAAUGAAUAGCGCAUCCUUAACCUCGUUUGUUUCUCUCUCUCCUCCUUACACGGUCUUUCUCAUCUCCUUCUUCUCUCUCCCUUCCUUGCAUCUCCUCCUUCCUUCGAACUUCAAUGGUGGUACUUCUUGUUGUGACGGCGGAGCGGGUGGUGAACGUGGUGUUAUGGGGCUUUAAAAUCUUGCUCAGGGUUUUGGUUUGGGUUUUUUAUUUUGGGGAAACUUGAGGAAAGCGACUCCCCAACGAGCACAGAAGGUGCAAUAUAAGCAAUCAAGCAGACGGUUAGUCGUUAGAGCGUCUACGAAGCAAAUUGCCUUUGACCAGGAUUCGAGGGCAGCUCUUCAAGCUGGAAUUGACAAACUUGUUGAUGCUGUUGGACUUACCCUUGGACCUAGAGUACUUUUUAUUAUGUGGAAAAAAAGAACUUUAAGAUUGAUACUUGUUUGGCUAGGAAUACCAUUAUUUGCUAAAAGGCUUGUGAUUAAACAUGGCUCAUUGGUAACUCGGUUGGUUACCAAGUUUCAAUAGUUAGUUGGAAAUUUAAUAAGAUAUUCUUGUUUUUAUUUCUUGGCAUGCUUCUAUGCACUACCCCUUCCUGUGAAUUUUAGAUUGGGGAAAUGCUGAGUCUAGUUGAUUUUGUCUUUGUUUAUUGUGUGAACUCGAGGGAGAAUAGGUAGAUUUGUUGUGAUUAUUCUGGUUUAGUUGUUUUUAUGGUAUUGUUCGAUUUCUUGCUCUUUGAAGCAUGUUAAGUGUGUGUAACACCUGAGUGCUUGACAAUAUAUGAUUGACUAUGUGCUCUAUACAGGGUUCGUUUUUGCCCAAUUACUAUUUUAAUUCUUCGUAAUGGCAUGAUGAUUUUAUUCUUUUUUCAGGGAGAAAUGUUGUUUUGGAUGAGUUUGGGACCCCAAGAGUAGUUAAUGAUGGAGUUACUAUUGCUCGAGCUAUUGAGCUGGAUGAUCCAAUGGAGAAUGCUGGUGCUGCUUUGAUUAGAGAGGUGCGGAGUUCCAGGCCAAUGAUUUGGGAUUAAAGGUUGAGAACACAUCUAUCGAACAACUUAAGGCUAGAUGAACUUCAGGCUAGAAUUGCGCAGCUUAAGAAAGAAUUGUUUGCAAUCGACUCUGUUUAUGAUUCUGAGAAGCUUGCUGAAAGAGUUGCCAAACUUUCUGGAGGAAUUGCAGCUAUAAAGGUUGGUGCAGUGGCUGCAGCCACAGAAACUGAGCUUGAAGACCGUAAACUGCGAAUUGAGGAUACAAAGAAUGCAACUUUUGCUGCCAUAGAGGAAGGAAUUGUUCCUGGUGGUGGUGCUGCUCUUGUUCAUUUCUAACCUUGUGUACCUUCUAUUAAGGAGAAGCUUGAAGACCCUGAUGAACGUCUGGGUGCUGACAUUGUGCAGAAGGUUCUACAGUGUUGAGCGUGGAGACUCCGUUCUACAGUGUUGAUAACUAGGGAACUAGUAAUGUAAAUCAUGACAAUAAUCUUCUUGUUAUACACCCAAACCUACUACUUUCCGGGACUCGGGUUUUCAAAACUCAAAGGGAGGGGCCCUUUACUAAAGAGGAGUUGGAUGAAGUUCGAGACAAAUGGGCUAUUUAAUUCAACGAUUGUGAACUACCCUCAGUGUAAUAAAUAGAGCAGGCUUGUAUUUAUUCGUGAAUCUUACAUUAUUUUGUUAUUUAUUGAUUUAAUUAAUUACAUUUGAAUUAAUUCGGUAUUAUUAUUGGAAAUUUGAAAUUUAUAUCAUUUUUUAGGAAUGUCAAGCUGAUGUUUGAUG